rnacentral:rRNA from 1 species
UAUGCAACCUACCUUUGGCACGGGGACAGCCCGGGGAAACCCGGAUUAAUACCCGGCAUAGUCUGUUAUACACCUGUAUAAAAGACGAGAGCUACGGCGGCCAAAGAUGGGCAUGCGUGCCAUUAGUUAGUUGGUAGGGUAACGGCCUACCAAGGCAUCGAUGGCUACGGGGUCUAAAAGGAUGAGCCCGCACACUGGUACUGAGACACGGACCAAACUCAUACGGGAGGCAGCAGUGAGGAAUAUUGGUCAAUGGGUGGAAGCCUGAACCAGCCAUGCCGCGUGCAGGAAGACGGCCUUAUGGGUUGUAAACUGCUUUUCUACGGGACGAACGGCUCUGACGCGUCAGGGAUUGACGGUACCGUAGGAAUAAGCAUCGGCUAACUCCGUGCCAGCAGCCGCGGUAAUACGGAGGAUGCGAGCGUUAUCCGGAUUUAUUAGGUUUAAAGGGUGCGUAGGCUGGGCAAUAAGUCAGUGGUGAAAGUCCGCGGCUCAACCGUGGGAUUGCCAUUGAAACUGUUGUUCUUGAGUACAGUCGAGGUAGGCGGAAUGUGUAAUGUAGCGGUGAAAUGCAUAGAUAUUACCCAGAGCACCGAUUGCGUAGGCAGCUUACCAGCCUGGAACUGACGCUGAUGCACGAAAGCGUGGGGAGCGAACAGGAUUAGAUACCCUGGUAGUCCACGCCGUAAACGAUGAUCACUCGCUGUUGGCAAUAUAGAGUCAGCGGCUGAGCGAAAGCAUUAAGUGAUCCACCUGGGGAGUAGGUCGGCAUCGAUGAAACUCAAAGGAAUUGACGGGGGCCCGCUCAUGCGGUCGAACAUGUGCUUUAAUUCGAUGAUACGCGAGGACCCUUACCUGGGCUUGAAUGUAGCCGGACGAUUCCGGAAGCGGGAUUUCCUUAACGGCUGGUUACAAGGUGCUGCAUGGCUGUGGUCAGCUCGUACCGUGAGGUGUCGGGUUAAGUCCCAUAACGAGCGCAACCCUUAUUCUUAGUUGCCAGCGGGUAGAGCCGGGGACUAUAAGGAGACUGCCACCCUAAGGUGUGAGGAAGGUGGGGAUGACGUCA